rnacentral:rRNA from 1 species
UACGUAGGGGGCAAGCGUUGUCCGGAGUUACUGGGCGUAAAGCGCACGCAGGCGGUCUCUUAAGUUUGGAGUGACAGUUGGUGGCUUAACUGCCAAAGUGCUUCGAAAACUGAGAGACUUGAGGGCUUCAGAGGGACACGGAAUUCCGGGUGGAGUGGUGAAAUGCGCAGAUAUCGGGAGGAACACCGAUGGCGAAGGCAGGUCUCUGGGCAUUAACUGACGCUGAGGAGCGAAAGCAUGGGGGAGCGAACAGG